CCUACGGGUGGCAGCAGUAGGGAAUCUUCCACAAUGGGCGAAAGCCUGAUGGAGCAACGCCGCGUGGGUGAAGAAGGUCUUCGGAUCGUAAAACCCUGUUGUUAGAGAAGAAAGUGCGUGAGAGUAACUGUUCACGUUUCGACGGUAUCUAACCAGACAGCCGCGGCUAACUACGGGCCAGCAGCCGCGGUAAUACGUAGGUGGCAAGCGUUGUCCGGAUUGAUUGGGCGUAAAGGGAACGCAGGCGGUCUUGUAAGUCUGAUGUGAAAGCCUUCGGCUUAACCGGAGGAGUGCAUUGGAAACUGGGAGACUGGAGUGUAGAAGAGGAGAGUGGAAUUCCAGGUGUAGCGGUGAAAUGCGUAGAUAUAUGGAAGAACACCAGUGGCGAAAGCGGCUCUCUGGGCUGUAACUGACGUUGAGGUUCGAAAGCGUGGGUAGCAAACAGGAUUAGAUACCCCUGUAGUC
rnacentral:rRNA from 1 species